UUUCAUGGAAUUGUUUUAAAAUUCAACAUCCAUUUAUAUAUGUGGGAAUGAAUACUUGUGGGAAUUGUGAAGUGACAAGUUUCAAGGUUUUCCUUCUAAGGACAUGUUCUUCUUUCUUGAAACAAGAACAGCGGCAGAAAAGAUGAAGACUGAGUGUUUAACAGGUUCUUCUCAGAUACUGAAAAUAAUUAUAUACAUGGUCUACACAUACUUUUAUUGGACAGCACUGGUUGAGACUGCUGCUGGGCAUAUAAAGGAAGAAAAAAGAAAUUUUUGUUUUGAUUAAUACCACUGAGAUUGCCUCAUUGGAUGAUGAAGUUUGAAGCUCUUGUCCGUUUCAAUUCUUACUGCUGACUUAUUCCUUUUUUCCUUUCAGUAAAUGUUAUGUCUGUGGCAGAUGCUAAUGAGAACAGUUACAUAUACAGAAAAUGUCCCAGGCAUAAAAGAUCCAACAUUCCUAUUGUAGAAGAUAGACAAUAAAGUAAUAAUUGACAUAUCAAUUCAUAAGUGACAUGGGAAAAUACACAGGUGGGGGAAAAAAAGGGUGUCCUGGGGUGCCCGGGUGGCUCAGUC